UCUUUUUUCGCUAUUUGUAGUUUCAUCAGAAUUACUCGCUGCGACUCACUUUCUAAUGGUUUCUAGUUUUUGUACUUAGAGUUACUUCCCUUAGACCUGCUGACCAGACAGGUAGAAUUUCAACUUGAUGAUAUCUUAACUGUUGUGACCUUUGGCUUCUGAUUUUUUUUCAUAAAUUAUUGUAAUGACCUUGAACUGCAUGUAUGACAUUUGACCUUUAUUAUAUUUACAUGUAAUAAUAUGUAAUAUUGAAAAACAUGUAUUCCACCCUUGGCGGAUCCAUUUUUCAUACAUUUAGCUAUGUAGAAGACAUGUAAUUAAGGAAAUUUUUAGCAAACUUGAAAAAUAUUGUUGUUUCUUUCAUGAUUUAUGCUUAAUUUGACUAAUUUUAUUGAUUUAUUUUCAUUUAAGCACUUUAGAGGAAUUUCAUCUUUCAGCUUUCUUGGCCCCAGGAGUGCUCGGUCUCUGAUCAGCAGGGGCAUUUUCUCUAUAUAAGAAGAAAAUGGAGACUCCCUACCCACCCGAUGUAUUUUGUCGGACAGUUUUCUGUACAUUGCAGUCACCAAUAUAUCCAAAUAUCAUCACCGGCCCAGACGUCAUUCACUCCUUUGAACUGUGCUGGUAGCAGUAAGGUGUCAUCAUUUGAGAUGGUCACAGUAUCCAAUACACUGAAGUCACAGGACUCAAAUUUCAUACAUGUUCACAGCUUUCUUGGCCCCGGGAGUGCUCGGUCUCUGAUCAGCAGGGGCAUUUUCUCUAUAUAAGAAGAAAAUGGAGACUCCCUACCCACCCGAUGUAUUUUGUCGGACAGUUUUCUGUAUAUUGCAGUCACCAAUAUAUCCAAAUAUCAUCACCGGCCCAGACGUCGUUCACUCCUUUGAACUGUGCUGGUAGCAGUAAGGUGUCAUCAUUUGAGAUGGUCACAGUAUCCAAUACACUGAAGUCACAGGACUCAAAUUUCAUACAUGUUCACAGGUAGGUGUAUAGUCUUUGAAAUUACCCCAAUUGACUAAUUCUGGGACAGGUAAGUAUGUAAGUAUAGGAAUGAGAGCACCAAAUCCCCGGAUGAACACAUGGCUUUGUUUGUUAUGGAACAUUAAACAGAGUACUGAAUGGGUAGGCGUUACGCCAUUGGCUGAAAUCAGGUAUUUAAUUGUUUUCAUUUUAAAGUAAAAUUAAUGACCUUUGAAAUAAAUGAUGGGAUGAGGGAAUAUUACAGAAACUAUAGAAAUACCAGGGAAGAUUUUAGGAGUGGGGGUUGAUUUUUUAUGUCGCGUGUUAUUUACUGCGAAUCUCUAUAAGUUGAAAAUAACUGCAAUUUUGACCUAUAAACGCAAUGGGACCAUAUAUUUUUUUCAGUAUUUUUUGUUAGGGCUUAGAACAAAGUUUGAAAUGAUGCUAAAGAUUUUUCUGAAAUUGUCAUAGUAAAGUACUGAGAGGGCCUAAGGUUUGUAUGGAGUUCUAUGGGAAAAUAAUUAGUGGUCUUUUCCCUAUAGAGACCCCAAUUUUUACACUGUAAAGUGAUUUGAAAGUCAUGAAAUGUUAUUUUUAGCUAAUUAUUUGAAGAUUGAUGACAUUUCGAGAGAAAAUUUAGCAAAAAUUUGAAUUAGUUUACUGCGGUAAUGGGGUUAGUGGUGAUUU